rnacentral:tRNA from 1 species
GGCUGCGGUAGCCGAGUGGUUAGCAUUGCGUACUGACAUUCGAAAGGCUCAGGUUCAAAUCCUGGUCUAGUCA